rnacentral:tRNA from 3 species
UGCCAUAGCUCAGUUGGUAGAGCAAAGGACUGAAAAUCCUUGUGUCGCUGGUUCGAUUCCAGCUGGCACC